rnacentral:rRNA from 1 species
UACGUAGGGGGCAAGCGUUGUCCGGAAUCAUUGGGCGUAAAGAGCGCGUAGGCGGCCCUGUAAGUCCGCUGUGAAAGUCAAGGGCUCAACCCUUGAAUGCCGGUGGAUACUGCAGGGCUAGAGUCCGGAAGAGGCGAGUGGAAUUCCUGGUGUAGCGGUGAAAUGCGCAGAUAUCAGGAGGAACACCGGUGGCGAAGGCGGAUCUCUGGGCCUUACCUGACGCUGAGGCGCGAAAGCUAGGGGAGCAAACGGG